rnacentral:lncRNA from 1 species
GAUGAAUCGAUCCUGGCAAUCGCUUUCUUAAUAUUUGCUGUCAGAGAAGAUGGAGAGAAUUGGAUCGUGGGGCAGAAGCAACCACUAGUCUGUACAAAUGGAUAGCCAGCUAAAAAGACAAGGUUCACCAUUCAGUUGGGGGUAAAAAAUUCCCCUCCACUUUUUUGAUGAACCAUUCAUUUCUCGAAGGUGUUUAACAAUGAAUAAUUCUUUAUUUUAUUUGAAAGCACAGAUGCUAUCAAGUACACAAAUAGUCACAUAUUGAAAGUAAUGCAAGUAUUCUCCACCUUUCCCUUAUCUGUUAAGCUGUUCAAAGCUUGAUACCCUCUACUUAAAUCUUAUUCAAAGGGUCCUGCAUACAAAUUUAUAAAGAUGUCGGUAAUAGAAUAAUAUUAUUCUUGACAAUAAUUAAGAUUACAUCGCAUGUCUUAAGAGGCCAGGAAUGUGAAUGUUCAUCAUGUAAUCCUCCCAAUCAAUACUCUUGGAAUCGAAGUCAAAUACACCCAUAUCAAUGCCUCUCCCUUGAGCCACCAUUCGCAACUUGUCUAAAUUUGUGUCACUAAAGCUGUAUAGGGAGAAAAGAGCAUUUAAAACAAUUUAAUUAGUGAUUAAAAAUAUUAAAUUGUUAAACCAAAUGCAAGAAUUUUUAAAUAAAUAAUAAACUCAUAUGCAUACUCACAUGCCCUUAAAGAAGGUAUAAGGCUUGUAAAAUUCUGCCAACCGCAUUGCCAACUUGACUUUGCGAUUAAGGUCCAUGUAAACUUGCCUGAAAUACUGGCCACUAAGGGCAUUCACCAAAUACAAUACCUUUACAAAUUCGAAACAUAAAAAUAUAUAUUAUGAUAAGAAAUGAGAAUUAAUUAAAUAAGAGAAGUUCUGAUAAUAAAUACAACACCUAAUGUUUAAAGAAACCUUUAAAUUAUUUAAAAAAAUUUUAAAUAAACUUUUAUUCUUUUAUUACGUUCAAUUAAAUCUUUGUGCUUUUAUUUUAAGUCAAAUAGAUUUUUAUAACUAAUGGUUAAUUAACUGUCAUUAAUCAAAACGUCACAUGUCAUUUGAUGUCAAGCGAUGCUAACGUGGCAUUAAGGUGGAGGGUGAAAAAUAUCACAUGGCCAUUUCAUCAUGUCACUAUCUAUCAUAACAUGUCAGCAUACCAUCUCAACACCACAUGACAUAAAAUGAAAUGAAAUGUUUUGACUAAUUAUAGUUAGUUAACCGUUAGUUUUAUAGACUUAUUUGGCCCAAAACAAAAAUAUAACGGUUUAAAUGAAUGCAAUAAAAAAAUAACAUAUUUGAAUUUGUCUGAGUUGUUCAAACACAUUUUUAGAUAAUAUGUCAAAAUAAAAAUUAAGAUUGUGACAAACCUUCAAUGGGAAGACAUAUUUAAUCCACAUGUACAGAAAAAAUCCAUUGACUGUGCUCAACACUGUUCCUUUACGAACUUUAACUCUUUGUCCAUCUCUAUUAAUCCAUGGCUUUUUAGUGAAAUAAUGAUAUACAAAUUUAUGAAGAUCCCCGAAUUUUAUAGGAUUUUUAAAUGAGGAGCUAACAUGGUAAAUGGCCGGACAAGAUUGAUAAUUCGUGUGAACAACCAUGGCCACAGCCAUUGCAUUUACCACCAUGUCCGCUGGUAUCUGCAUAAAUUUUGAAAUUCACGUGUUUAAUUUCACUUGCAAUUAUACCCAGCUAUAGGAAGAAAAGGGUAUAUGUUACCUAGAGACUAAAAAUACUCACCACAUCGAGGGCAUAGCUAGGAUAGCCAGGAAAACAUGUUAAUUUCCCCUUGCCAUAACUCACAAUGACGCUAUCUAUGGUUCUGUAGUAACGCAAAAAUUAAUGAGUCAUUAUUCCAAAUACACAACGUUAAUGAAAGCAAUAAUUUUUUUAAAAAAAAAAUUAAUGAAUGCGAUAAAUUGCAUUAAUGAAAUAUAAUAAUAAUCCUAAAUCAAAUACCAUAAAAAUUUGAAGUUACAAUUUGGUCGUGAUAAUUACCUCACACCUUCAAUCCAGCCAGGGAAGGGUUCUUUAUAAGUGCUUGCAAUCAUGGUAGGGCGGAUAAUGACAAGAGGCAAAUCUCCUUUGAAGUUCCCUAAAAGCAUCUCUCCCAUUGCCUUUGUAAACACAUAUGUGUUAGGCCACCCAUACAAUUUUGCCCUGUAUUCAUAAGAAACAAGGUUUGUCAUUGUUUUCUUUCUACUUUUUUUUUUUAAUUUAAGAAAUCGUCCAUACUAUUCAAGGUGAAGUGGAAAUAACGACGGUGAGAGAGAAACCUUUUGAGACCGAAUUCCAUCAUUUCUGAUUUUAUUACUUCGUUUGGGGCAUGUUGGAAUCGCAAUUCAUCUAAUUUUUCCUCCACAAUUCUCUUCUCUUCAGUAAUGUCUAAUUUAAAUGUUUUCAACAGUGUGUCAUCCAUGGAAAAUGGUUUCUCUAAUAUGAUUCCUACUUGUUCACCGCACACGUAGGCUAAAAGAAAAUUAUGAUAAAAAGCAUGAUUGUCAAUCUUAAUUCAUCUCCGAUAUAAGUACUGAAUGUACUAAAAUUUAACUAUGUAUAUAGCUAAUUUCAAUUACUAAUCAAUCAAGAACUAUCAAUGUCAUAUUCACCAGUUGAUGUGUGGAGAAACAACUUUAUCGCAUCACAUUUCUUUGCAAAGUUCAAAGCGUUGAAAGCUCCAAACGUAUUGAUGGCCAAUGCAACAUCAUACCUUGAAAAAUAAGAGGAAAGAAGUAAAGAAAAGCGGCAAAUUAUAGGCAAAAUUAUGUUCUUAAGACAUACUCCUACAAUUCAAAUAUGAGGAUUCUAAAUUACCUUUCAUUGAAUCCUGUCAUGGCAGCAACAUGUACUACAAUUUCUAUUUCUUUCAACAUUUGUUCCCUUAAUUUUGAUUCAUUCACCCCCAAGUUUUCGGAAGAGAUAUCGCCAGGCACUGCUAUUACCUUGGUUGAUAUAAAGGAAUCAAAUUCCGAACCCCAAUUGUCUCGAAGAAUCGUAAACAAUUCUGUAUCUAUAAUCUACAUAAAAAUUAAGACGUGUAAGUUUUUUUUUGUGAAUUUGAAAUUGAAUUUUAUAUCAUGUGUAACAAAUUGGAUCAAAAUAAAAAUUUUAAUUUUAAAUUUAGUAUGAAUCAUAUGAUCGAAUAGUAGUAAUUACGAAUAUGACUUUCAUGAUUAUCGUAAAAUUGUCUGAAUUAUGGAACUUAAAAUUCAUUAUAUACCUCACUAUGCAGGCGUUUUGUGGCAGAUUUAGCAUCUGCAGCCCUCAAAAGAAGAUACAGCUUAUUCACAUUUGGUUGAAUCCUUAAUAUCUUCUCGACAAAGACUGAAACCGUAGUUGAGAAUUAAAUCAUUCAGUAAAACUAAAAUGAUUAAUUAUAUUGUCUUAAAUGAAAUCAUCAUCCUUGGCUUUGUAAGAGAGAGAUUACUCUUUGCCAAAAAUCCAGUUGCACCAGUGACUAAAAUAGUUUUGCCUUGAAGAAACUUGACAACAUGAUCCAACUCCAUAUUCAUGUCUGAGAAGCCAAAAAGAAAUCAAAUUAAAGAAGUAAUUUAUUUAUAAUAUUUAUUGGAAUAAAAUUGGCUAAAAUUCAAUAUUUGAUAGAGAAAAGAUAAGAUAAAUAUAUCCUUCCCAACAUGUAAAUUGCAAUGUUUAAUGACAAUUUGGAAGUAUUGAAAAUAAUAUUAAUUAAAGUUGAAAAAUAAUACAACAUGUGACAUCACCUUGAUUUGGGAAUUUCUUUUCCCCUGCUUUUUUUUUCUUGUUCUUUUGCCUGUUCUCCCUCUUCUUCUUUAUGUGAGUUGUAAGAGGCAUUUAUAGGGGAGAACCAGAGCUGUCGAUGGAAGUGGAAAACCCCCAUUUUGGUGCCCUUAGGCCAGAGCUUUUGUGCAAUGAAUGAGUUGUCGCAUUGAUAGGGGAGAACCAGAGCUGUUGAUGGUACUUUCAUUAUUACUAUGAGAAUGAUAUUGCCAUCACAUUGCUGCACACAGUUUCGUAAAUUUGAUUGUGACGUCGAAUAUUAAUUUUUGGCACUGGGACGAAAGUGACUGGAGGAAAGAGGGAGGGGGACCUGCCAUUCGCUGACCAUUUGGCACUGAUUGGAAGAGAUAAUUAAGGCCAACUAGGUUUUUUUUUUUAGUUUAUGAAAUAAAAGUAAAUUCAUUUAUGUGGAAAUAAAUGCAUAAACACGUUUCAGUGGGUGAAUUCAAGCCAAUAAACACAUAAAGCUAUGAAUCUAUAUUGAUCAAACCGUAGUCAUUUUCCAAUUAGAACUCGUUAAACAUAAAACAUUUACCUCUAAAUACCAUUGGCUGAUCAAUUAGGUGAAAAACAAGACUAGUUGAACUGUGUACUAGCUAGUUUUCUUUCAGAGGAAACUGUCCAUAUAUAGUCACAUUUUACCGUUUCAGGCGUUGUUCCAUCAAGUAAAAUCACCAGCUACUAGACGUACCCGGGCAGAGUUAAUCAAUUUUUGUUAGAUAAAUCAAAAACAAAGUGAAAUAAAAGUUUAAAAUUUUUUAAAUUAAUACAUUGCAUUUAAACAACAAUCAAAAGUUUCAUCAUAGAAAAUAAUUUUAUAUGACAUAAAUUGAAAAAGAUAAGAAAGAAAAACUAACAAAAAAGUUGUGCUCGAUGAUACUUUCUAGAUUCAUAAAAUAUAAUGCAUAAAAUAUAUAUAGUUAACUAUGAUAUAUAAAAUUUCACACAAUAAUUAAAUAAUAUAAAUAGAAAGAAAUGUGUUAGUUUACAGUAUUCAAGUUCACAAGAUCAUAACUACGAUAUACACAGUAAAGAAAACUUUACUGUAUCCAAGUUCACAAGAUCAUAAAUCUCUCUUUUAAAUAAUGAAAUGUGUUUCAGUAGUUAAUUACAUAAGAGAGAGUAAAGUAAAAUAAAAGAACAAAAAGAGAAGAGAAAGAGAGGGAAAAAGAGGUGUGAAUAAACUUAAAUUAGGGUAACGUUAAUUAGGAUUUGUAGAGUCAUUUUUUUUUUAAUUGGGAGAGGGGGAUUAGAACCCUGCUCUUUAGGCAGGGGGAUUAUGCACCAAUCAAUGAGCCAGGUGCUAGGAUUUGUAGAGUUAUUUUAUUAUUUAUUAUUUAUAUUAAUUAUUAAAUAAAAAAUUAUUUUGAGGAAUAUUAAAAAUAUAUAAUAAAAAAAUAUUUCAAAAUUUUUGAAGGGGUCACAACUUCCUUAAAUAUACUACUCUCUAAGAUUAUUAAAAAAAUAUAUAAUCAUUACAAAUUUUCAAAAAUUUUCUCAUAACAAUAUCACUCUCUGCCCCUGAACACACCGAUUAACAACAAAUGAUAUUUUGUGAACUAUGAUGUUUACAUAUAUAACUAUGCAUAGCAUUUCUUUAGGGUUAAGAAAAAAUAUUUUAGUAAUUCUACUUUUAAUUCAAACUUACAUAUAUGAUGUUUAUCACUAUUAGCAAAUUACGUUUAAACUUUUAAAAAUUAUGUAAUUUAGAUUCGAAAAAUUACUAGACUAGUGAUGUUUAAAUCAGGAUCGUUGGUUCGGUGUAUGCUUGUUAGAUUACAGCUAACUGAGGGCAGAAGCUGGAAGCAGGAUUAACUACCGCAAAUGAGGAAGGCAAAGGAGAGACAUGUCAAGGUAAAAGAUGGAUUAGUAGGGGGGAUACCUUCCCUCUCUGCUCUCCUCAAACACCUAUAUUUGCUUUAAAAUGAUAUGGAAUGAGGACAAAUAAAUAUUUUUUUUAUACAAAAAAAUAAUAGAAGGUAUGUUUGAGAUUUCGCUUAAUGACAAAUAAGUGAUUUGGUGUAGCAAUGCUGCUAUGAUCUACAAUAAAGGAUUGAUAAUUUCACACAUAUUGAGGAGAAAUUUAUAUGCUGAUGGACAAAUUAUCAGUUUGAUUGCUGUUCAUGUUGGUAGGGUUGGAGAGUUUAACUGGUAUUUACAUGGUCUAUGGAUGGCCCUUUUGCAAGUUGUACGGAAAUCUUGGUUUUUCCUAACUUGUGCCUUUUGUUGCAACAGUCUUGCUAAUUAAUGCUUGCAAAGCUUCCAUUAGGCAAAUUGCAAUGGAAGCUUCAGGACAAAUUGAUGGAUUCAAAAGAUCAAAAGAAUGAAGGCAACAUCUAAGGUUUUAAAGAAUAUGAGAAUUCCGAAGCUUCAGGGAUGGGAAAUGAUGUUCAAUUUGAAAUCGAAAGAAGAAUUUUAAUUUCAUAUUACAAAUUAACAUGAUUUUCAUGAUUAUCAUCAAAUUGUCUGAAUCAUGUUAACGAAAAAUGGAACUUAAAAUUCAUUAUAUAUUUCAGUGUGCAAGCAUUUAAAUUGUGACAGAUUUCAUAUCUGCAGCCCCAACAGCAGACAGAGCUUAUUCACCAUUUGGUUGAAUCCUUAAUAUUAAUCUUUGCCAAAAAUCCAGUUGCACCAGUGACUAACAUAGUCUUGCCUGGAAGAAACUUGACAACGUUAUCCAACUCUAUAUUCAUGUGUGAGAAUCCAAAAAGAAAUCAAAUUAAAAAAAGUAAUUUAUUUAUUGUAUAUAUUGGAAUAAAAUUGGGUUAAUUUGAAUAAUUUAAUAGAGAAAAGAUCAGAUAUAUAUCCUUCCCAACACUUCACCAAGAAAUUGCAGUGUUUAAUGAUUUUGGAAGUAUUGAAAAUAAUAUUAAUUAAUGACUUGAAAAAUAAUAUAACAUGUGGACACCAAGUUGAUUUUGGAAUUUCUUUUCCCAUGGUUUUUUAUUUUCUUGUUCUUUUACGUGUUUUUCCUCAUCUUGUGAAUGUGAGCUUUAAAAGACUUGAAAAGUAAUAUAACAUGUGGACACCAACUUGAUUUUGGAAUUACUUUUCCCUUGUUUUUAUUCUCCUGUUCUUUUACCUGUAUUUCCUCAUCUUGUGAAUUUGAGUUUAAGAGGUAUUUAUAGGGGAGAACCUGAGUUGUUGAUGGUUAUUUUCAAAAAUACCCCUCAUACAUAAUGUGUUUUUGAAAAUAACUUUAUCUAUAAUUUUAACUAUUUCUAGUCAAGAGAAAUUAUUUUUGGAUUAAAUUACUUUUAAUGAAACAAACUCAUAUAUUUAGUCUGCAGUUCAAACUGAUUCAUAUCUUUUGAGCUUUUCUCGUCAGACCAUUCAUUUUUGGAGUAUUUUUUACCAGAAAGAAAAACUUUUAAGCAUUUUAAGCAUUUUAAAGUGAUUUUUGAUAUACAUAGAAAACCUUUGAGCGUUUUGAGCAUUUUUAAGCAUUUGGAGUCAUUUUUGAUACAUAAAGAAAAACCUUUAAGUAUUUUGAGCAUUCUUCGAUAAGUAGGCAUAUUCGUUGAUUAUAUUGUUAAAUAGAAUAUAGUAUAUUAUUUGAUGUUGUUGAUUUUGUUAAAUGGAAUUCAGUAAUUUUGGUGGUUUUUAGGCCUUGGGUAACUGAUUUUUACGCAUUGCGUGACUAGUUUAGAGGCAUUGCAUUACUAAUUUUUAAGCAUUGCGUGAUUGAUUUUUAAGUAUUAUGUGACUAGUUGAUAUGACAUUACGUGACAGGUUGAUAAGCAUUACGUGACUGGUUAGUAAGGUAUUGUAUGACUAGUUAGGAAGGCAUUGUGUGACUUAGGUAUUGCCUAAAAAUCAGUUACGCAAUACCUAAAAACCAAUCACAUAAUUCCAAAAAUCCAAUGACACAAUACCUAAAAACCAGUAAAACAAUACCUAAUAUCUUCUCGACAUUUGGUUGAAUCUUUAAUAUCUUCUCGAAAAAGACUGAAACCUGAGUUGAGAAUUAAAUCAUUAAGUAAAACUAAAAUGAUUAAUUAUAUUGUGUCUUAAAUGAAAUCAUCAUCCUUGGCUUUGUAAGAGAGAGAUUACUCUUUGCCAAAAAUCCAGUUGCACCAGUGACUAAAAUAGUUUUGCCUUGAAGAAACUUGACAACAUGAUCCAACUCCAUAUUCAUGUCUGAGAACCCAAAAAGAUAUCAAAUUAAAGAAGUAAUUUAUUUAUAAUAUUUAUUGGAAUAAAAUUGGCUAAAAUUCAAUAUUUGAUAGAGAAAAGAUAAGAUAAAUAUAUCCUUCCCAACAUGUAAAUUGCAAUGUUUAAUGAUAAUUUGGAAGUAUUGAAAAUAAUAUUAAUUAAAGUCGAAAAAUAAUAUAACAUGCGACAUCACCUUGAUUUUGGAAUUUCUUUUCCCCUGUUUUUUUUUUCUUGUUCUUUUGCCUGUUCUUCCUUUUCGUCUUUAUGUGAGUUCUAAGAGGCAUUUAUAGGGGAGAACCAGAGCUGUCGAUGGAAGUGGAAAACCCCCAUUUUGGUGCCCUUAGGCCACAGCUUUUGUGCAAUGAAUGAGUUAUGGCAUUGAUAGGGGAGAACCAGAGCUGUUGAUGGUAGUGUCGAUGGAAGUGGAAAACCCCCAUUUUGGUGCCCUUAGGCCACAGCUUUUGUGCAAUGAAUGAGUUAUGGCAUUGAUAGGGGAGAACCAGAGCUGUUGAUGGUAGUGGAAAACCCCCAUUUUGGUGCCCUUAGGCCAUAGCUACCGAUGGUCCUAUUUCAUGUGUGAUAUCCCAUCUUAAUUCAAUGUGAAUAUGAUUGUUAACACCUUUAUAAGAGUUUACGUUAAACACUAUUAGUAAAUUGCGUUUAAACUUUUUAAAAAUUAUGUAAAUUAGAUUUGAAAAAUUACUAGACUAGUGAUGUUUAAAUCAGGAUCAUUACACUAUGUGGUUCGGUGUAUGCAUGUUGGAUUACAGCUAACUGAGGGCAGAAGCUGGAAGCAGGAUUAACUACCGCAAAUGAGGAAGGCAAAGGAGAGACAUGUCAAGGUAAAGGAUGGAUUAGUAGGAGGGAUACCUUCCCUCUCUGCUCUCCUCAAACACCUAUAUUUGCUUUAAAAUGAUAUGGAAUGAGGACAAAUAAAUAUUAUUUUUUUGUACAAAAAAAUAAUAGAAGGUAUGUUUGAGAUUUCACUUAAUGACAAUUAAGUGAUUUGGUGUGGCAUUGCUGCAAUGAUCUACAAUAAGGGACUGAUAAUUUCACACAUAGUGAGGAGAAAUUUAUAUGCUGAUGGAGAAAUUAUCAGUUUGAUUGCCGUUGAUGUUGGGAGGGUUGGAGAGUUUAACUGAUAUUUACAUGGUCUAUGGAUGGCCCUUUUGCAAGUUGUACGGAAAUCUUGGUUUUUCCUAACUUGUGGCUUUUGUUGCAACAGUCUUGCUAAUUAAUGCUUGCAAAGCUUCCAUUAGGCAAAUUGCAAUGGAAGUUUCAGGACAAAUUGAUGGAUUCAAAAGAUAAAAAGAAUGAAGGCAACAUCUAUGAUUUUAAAGAAUAUGAGAAUUCUGAAGCUUCAGGGGUGGGAAAUGAUGCUCAAUUUGAAUUCGAAAGAAGAAUUUUAAUUUCAUAUUACAAAUUAACAUGAUUUUCAUGAUUCUCAUCAAAUUGUCUCAAUCAUGUUAACAAAAAAUGGAACUUAAAAUUCAUUUUAUAUCUCAGUAUGCAAGCAUUUGGUGACAGAUUUAAUAGCUGCAGCCCCAACAGAAGACACAGCUUAUCCACCAUUUGGUUGAAUGCUUAAUAUUACUCUUUGCCGAAAAUCCAGUUGCACCAGUGACUAACAUAGUCUAGCCUAGAAGAAACCCUUUUUUUUUUUUAUAAUUGAGGUAGAGGGAAUUCGAACCCUGCGUUUUAGUCAAGAGAAUUAUACAUCAACCAAUGAGUCAAAUGCUCCGAUGCUCUUACCUGAAAGAAACUUGACAAUGUUAUCCAACUCUAUAUUCAUGUAUGAGAAUCUAGAAAGAAAUCAAAUUAAAAAAAGUAAUAUAUCCAUUGUAUAUAUUGGACUAAAUUUGGGUAAAAUUGAAUAAUUUAAUAUAGAAAAGAUAAGAUAUAUAUCCUUCCCAACAUUACACCAAGAAAUUGCAAUGUUUAAUGAUAAUUUGGAAGUAUUGAAAAUAAUAUUAAUUAAUGACUUUAAAAAUAAUAUAACACAUGUGGACACCAACUUGAUUUUGGAAUUUCUUUUCCCUGGUUUUUUAUUUUCUUGUUCUUUUACCUAUUUUUCCUCAUCUUGUGAAUAUGAGUUUUAAAAGACUUGAAAAGUAAUAUAACAUGUCGACACCAACUUGAUUUUGGAAUUUCUUUUCCCUUGUUUUUAUUUUGUUGUUCUUUUAACUGUAUUUCUUCAUCUUGUGAAUCUGAGUUUAAGAGGUAUAUAUAGGAGAGAACCUAAGCUGUUGAUGGUUCUUUUCAAAAAUACCCCUCAUACAUAAUGUGUUUUUAAAAAUAACCCUCUUUAUAAUUUUAAUUAUUUUUAGUCAAAAGAAAUUACUUUGGGAUUAAAUUACUUUUAAUAAAACAAACUCAGAUGUUUAGAUCCGCAUCUCAAACUGCUCAUAUCCUUUGAGCUUUCCUCACCAAACCAUUUAUCUUUGGAGUAUUUCUUUCUAGAAAGAAAAUCUUUUAGGCAUUUUAAGCAUUUUAGAGUGAUUUUUUAUGCUCGUAGAAAACUUUUGAGCGUUUUGAGUAUUUUUAAACAUUUAGAGUCAUUUUUGAUACAUAAAAAAAAAACCUUUGAGUAAUUUGAGAAUUCUUCGACGAGUAGGCAUAUUCGUUGAUCAUAUUGAUAAAUAGAAUAUAAUGUAUUAUUUGAAGUUGUUAAUUUUGUUAAAUGAAAUUUAGUAAUUUUGGUGGUUUUUAAGCCUUGGGUAACCGAUUUUUGCGCAUUGUGUGACUAGUUUUUAGGUAUUGCAUUACUAAUUUUUAGACAUUACGUGAUUGAUUUUUAAGUAUUAUGUGACUAGUUGAUAUGACAUUACGUGACAGGUUGAUAGGUAUUGCGUGACCGGUUAAUAAGACAUUGCAUGACUAGUUAGGAAGGUAUUGUGUGACUUAGGCAUCGCCUAAAAAUCAGUCACGUAAUGCCUAAAAACUAAUCAUAAAAUAUCAAAAACCAAUCACGUAAUGCCAAAAAACCAGAGACGUAAUGAUUAAGGCACGCAAUGCCUAAAAAUCAAUCUCGCAAUACCUAAAAUCCAAUGACACAAUACCUAAAAACUAAUAAAGCAAUACCUAAUAAGUAAUCGAUUUACCUGCUCGUAGUCAGGUUUAAGUUGCCAAAGUUAUACAGCGUUCUAAUUUACAGAUAUAUCUAAUUAAUUCCAACCCCCUCAACUAUGGGGUUCGAUGAAUAAAUCAAUAAACCCAAGAACCUAAAACAUAUACCUCGAUGUCAUCUUUGCACUUUGGGGUGGCAAGAAAGAGCUGGACGACAAGAUAGAUAGUAUUUGCCAAGAGAGAGAAAUCGAGAUUUGAUUUUGAAAUUUUUGUCUGGAUUGUGGAAUAGAGAAAAUCGAAACCAUUUUAUUUUGUCUAAAAUUUUUUAAAGUGCAUUAUUAUCAAGUCAUGUCAAAAAUUAACUAAAAAUAGUUAAAAUUAUAAUGAAAGAUAUUUUUAAAUUGGAUUUAUGAAAAGGAUUAUUUCUCAGAAUUUUCUCUAGUAGAAAACACCCCAUUUUGGUGCCCUUAGGCCAUUGCUUUUGAGCAAUGAAUGAAGUUAUGGCAACCGAUGGUCCUAUUUCAUGUAAUGGCCUUUCCUUUCUGAAAUUGGGUAUUUUAAUCCGAACAUAAAGUUAGGUUUAAUUUCUACCAAAUUUAGGGGCACGCUAGAGGGAAGCCCCAGCCAACAGAAUGUGGAGGUGGAUUCCAAUGGGUUUGUUAAGCAAGUGCCGACAUUGCUAUCAGUUUGUCUAGUUUGGCUCUCAGAGUCAAAAAAGGUUACUCUCUAACAAUCCCUAUCACGGUCAUAGACUGAACCCCACAAGAAAAUAUUUGGUCUUUAAUUAUUGGUGUAAGAAAACAAACAAAAAUUCAGACUAUGAAUUCUUCAUUUUACUUUGAAGCAAAGAUAAAAUGACGAAGCAUCAUGUACACAAAUAAAUAAAGAACUAUCAAGGCAAUAACAUCUGUCAUUGGUCACAAUGAAAGUAAUGUAAGUAUUCUGCAUCUUUCCUCACCUGUUAAGCUGUUCAAAGCUUGAUACCCACUAAUUUUUUUUUUUUUUAGAUUUAGGGAAGGAGAUUCGAACUUUACUCUUUAAGUGAGGAGAUCAUACACUAACUAACGAAUCAAAUGCUCGUAUGCGUCCUCUACUUAAAUUUUAUUCAAUUACUUUUAUUUUUUAAAAAUAAUUAGACUUAAUCGCAUGUCUUAAGAGGCCAGGAAUGUGAAUGUUCAUCAUGUAAUCUUCCCAAUCAAUACUCUUAGAAUCGAAGUCAAAUACACCCAUAUCAACGCCUCUCCCUUGAGCCACCAUUUGCAACUUGUCUAAAUUUGAGUCACUAAAGCUGCAUAGGUAGAUAAGAACAUUUAAAGCAACGUAAUUGGUGAUUAGAAAAAUUAAAUUGUUAUGCCAAAUGCAAGAAUUUUGAAAUAAAUAAUAAACACAUAUGCAUACUCACAUGCCCUUAAAGAAGGCAUAAGGUUUGUAAACUUCUGCAAACCGCAUUACCAAUUUGAUUUUGCGAUUAAGGUCCAUGUAAACUUGCCUGAAAUAUUGGCAAUUGAGGAUGUUCACCAAAUACAAUACCUUUACAAAUUCGAAACAUAAAAAAUAUAUACUAUGAUAAGAAAUGAGAAUUAAUUAAAUAAGAAAUGCUUUGACACAUCUAUAUAUAUAUAUUCAACUUUCUUAAUUAUUAGCCCUAAAUAUUAUUUUCCUUUUUAUUCUAUUUUCUUCUAUACCUAUUUUUUUUAUCAUUAAAUAUUUACCUUUUAUAUUUUAAUUCAUUAUUGUUAUGAUUUUAUAACUAAAUAUUUAUUUACUUUAUAUGAAUAUUUUUUCAUCUACCUAAAUAAAUUUUCCUUACAACUAGAUAUUUAUCUAUUUUUUUAUUUACAGCUUUCUAUUUAUUAUUAUUUUACCCCUAUUUCUCUACUCUAAAACCUCUUAUAAUUUUUUUAUAAUAUUUUUCCAUCCUAUUUAAAUUAAUCACAUGUUUAUAACAACAAAUUUCAAGCUAAAUAAAAUAAGCCAGCCCAACAAACUUAACCCAAGCAGAUUUAUAAAUGGGUCAAAGAAAAGGUUAUACCUUUCUUGGGCUAGAAUUGGCCCAAGAUAGUCGGCGAAGGAGAAAACAAGUCUGCUGCACCAGCUAACUAGAUCCCUUUCAAAACGCACCGUUUGGUGCUUUAAAGGCCCCUUCAAACAACGCCGUUUAGGCUCAAACUCACUCUCCCUUCCCUUCCCCAAAACAACGCCGUUUAAUAAUAACCAAACCUAAGUAUAAAAAACCUCUUUUCUCCUUUUCUCUCAUUUGCCCUUUUCACUUUCUCUCUCUAGUCAUCGACACGUUCUACCUUCUCUCUAAAACAAAACCCCUUCCCCUUUUCUUUCAAAUCCGAAAUCCAAACCUACCUCUCUCUUCACUUUCCUAGCCGGCUGCUCUUCCUUCUCUCUCCCUUACAACCACCAAUCGAAAGCCCCAAACCCCGUGACUAUCUCGAAAGAGAAGAAAGAAAAGCAAACCAGUCCCUCUUAGUUUCGAAAUUUUUUAAGGCUUUUUCUUUGGAUUUCUUGGUUGUGGUUUUUUUAUUUUUUCUUUCUUUUUGUGGUAGUGUAUAUGGCUAAGUAUUUUGGUUGGUAACAUAAAGUUAGCGCUUUUUCAUUCUAGGGAUUUUUCUUUUUUUUGCAUCUCUUGAUUGUGGCUGUUGGUUGUUGGUAGAAACCUAGGAUUUUUUGUUUUGAUUUUAGGGUUUUCAAUCUCUCAAUAAAAUCUGCCCCUUUUUAGCUUUUUUUCAAUCCGGCUUUCCUCCCUUAACCAAAAUUUUGAAGAUGAUGGCCUCGAAAAGGUGAGCAUGAUUUCACAGAUAAUGGCUUAUGGAGGUGACCCAAAUCUGACUCCCAAUGGGCAUUGAAUGCUCUGUGCAAGCGUGUUUUCUGAAAUGUUGACUAUGGAGGUCAUGUAUUUCAGUUUUUUUUAUUAUAAUUUAUUUUAUUUUAUUUAUUAUUUAUUAUUAUCUUUUGUUUGAAAGAAAAAAAAAAGUCUAACAUUAAUGAAGUACGAAACUUAAAAUAUUAGAUACCUCACUACAAAAAUAUUUUUAUCUUGAAGAAACUUGACAACAUUAUCUAAUGCAAGAGUGUCUAAUAUUGUAUUUUAUUUAAUUUAAUUUUUAUUAAUUUUAGUUGAUUUAAGAGUAUAUUAUUAGAUUAUUAUUAUUUAAGAAUUAUAGAUAUAAUAAAAAAAAAAAUUUUACUUGUACGAGGACUUUAAGUUAAUGAUGUUUUAUUUAAAAAUAGAAUACUUAUUUUGUUCAAAUUUCUUGUUAACUAUUUUAAUUGUAUUAGAUAAUUAAGAGUAGAGUUUUAUUAAGAUGUGGGCUUAUAAUACUAUAAAUAACAUUUUUAAGUUUAGUUAUGAGACAUUUAAAUUGAGAGUUAAUAAAUAAUAUUUUUUGAAAUAGGAGUGUUUAUUUUUUUGGGUUUUUUUUAAAGAGUAAAAGGUUUUAGUAUCUUUAGUUUAACCAACCAAAGUGAGAUUUUGGUUAUUUUUUCACUUUAGUAUGGUUUUUAAUCUUGUCAAAAUUGGUGAUUCACUUUAGCGAGGUUUUUAACCUCAUCACGAUUGGUGUCUUUCAUAACAUCCAGAUGUUUUUACAACGCAUAAGUAAUUUAUCUAUAGUAUAUAUUGAAAUAAAAUUGGGUACAAUCCAACAAUUUAAUAGAGAAAGAUAAGAAAGCAAUGUUUAAUCAUAAUUUGGAAGUAUUGAAAUAAAAUUAUUAAAGUUGAAUAAUAAUCUAACAUGUGGUCAUCACCUACCUUGAUUUUGGAAUUUCUUUUCCCUUUUUCCCAUUGAUUUUUCCGUGUUCCUUUAGUUGUUCAUUCUCCUAUUCUCUAUGUGAGUUUUAAGAGGUAUAAAUAGGGAUAAGAAAAGUUGUGUGUUGUAGUGGAAAACCCCUUAAUUUUGGUACCCCUAAGCCACUGCUUUUGAGCAAUGAAUGAAGUAAUUAUGGCAACCAUGGUCCUAAUUUCAAGUGUGAAAUCACAUCUUAUGUUGAAUGUGAAUAUAAUUAUUAACAUUUUAAUAAAAAUUUAAGUUAAUCACUACUUAAUGGAGUUUAAACUUUUGAAAAUUACAUGAUUUAGAUUUGAAAAAUUGUUCGACCAAUAAUAUUUAAAUCAAGAUCGUUACUCCAUGUGAUUUGGUUCAUACACAUUGAUAGUAGCCAAUUGACGCGAGAAGCUGAAAGUAGGUUAAUUACCACAAAUGACGAAAGUAAAAGAGAGUUUUUUUUUUUUUUGUUUGAAAAGCAUGUAAAGGUAAAGGAUGGAUUAAUAGUAGGGAUGCCUUCCCUCAUAAACCUACCUUUUCUUUUCUUUUUAUGUAAAAAAAAAAAUAGAAGGUGCGUAUGAGAUUUCCACCCUUUAACCAGACAAAAAAGUGAAAAUUCCUUAAAUUCUUUUCCUUUCUCUUCGUAAGUUAACUAAAUAAGGUAAUUUUAUUAUUAUGUCAAAAAUGAAUCUUUUCAUAGUUCGAAUUUUAUUCACAACUGUUAUAGUUUGAGGACUUGUUUUAAGGUAAAAUAUACAUACUGCUAUGAGUUUUGGCCAUAAUUUCUUGCAAGUUUAUUAAUAUUCGAAAUGAAUAGUCCGUUCCAAAAGAAUAUCUUGCGCUGGACGCAUAAGUCCUAUCAUUAGUUAAUCGUUAAUGUUUUUGGUAUUUGAUCACGUGGUAAUAUUUUUAGGAUAAUUUUACCUUUCAUUAUGUCGUAAUGUGCGGGAAUGAGAACCUGACGCUUGGCCUGAAAAAUUUAGAGAGUCGCGCGAAAUUUUUUUUUUUUAUCUAGGUGCGAUUCGCCACCUAUUAAAAUUGUUCUUCUCAACAAAGUCUUAAAUUAAUUUUAGGAUUGCUUAAAGAACAAGACUUAGUCUAUGUAUUUCAGAGUUGGAUUCGGAAGUACAGUUACACAUGGGGAAAGAUUAGCAAUCUCAUGAUGCCCGUUCUACAAAUAGUACCACUUUAUCAUAUAUUAUCCUAUUAACCUUAACUUUUUACUUUUAUUUUUAUAUUUCCCUAAUCCUUAUUUAUUUAUUUUAUUUACAAAUUAAAAAUUUUUUUUUUCAACCUUACGGGGUGAGACGUGCAUAUGAUGCAAUUGUAAAAUGCAUGGCAUAAAAUCUAGAUAAUGUCAACGAAAACCAUUUAUUGAGUGUACUUCUUGAAUCCACCCAUCACACUAGUGAGAUCUAAAGGUAUUCUCUCACCUAGAGAAAUACAUGAAAAACUCGCAUUCGCAAGUUUAAUGAGUAAAUCUCAUCAUCAAAGUAGUCGUUUGUAUGUAAAAACUAUAUUUUAAUAAAUGCAAAUCUUAAUACAAGUAGAAACUUUUUAUUAAGGAUAUUCUUCGAGUCUUUUCAUUGUACUAGUGGGACUCAAAGGUAUCCUUUCACCUAAAAAAUAAUUGGUUAAAAAUGUUUGUUUACACUAUGUCCAUGAGCACUUUUAUCUUCUGGUUCCCCCAAAUUUGUUUCUGUUUCCAGGCGCGUGUAUGCUUAUAUGGGAAUCCCAUUGCAAUCAAGUAAUAUCUCAUCUGCACUUGCAACAUUCAGGAUGCUUGAGGAGCCCAUUUACAAUCUUCCCGAUACAAUCUCAACGACUGUGAUUAGACUAAAGGAUCCCUGAAUAGAAUAUCCUAAUCAUUUCUCAACAUGAUGACCUGCCAGCUGAUGUCAUUCAGAAGCUUCCUAAAGGAAGUACUGUCAUAGCAGUUGAUCAGAAGUCCUUCCACCAGUUCCUUGGUUCUCUUGCUCUAUCUUGGCACAUUCGGUACUCUUUUUGUUCUUCAUUCCGGACUUUUCACCUAAUCAAAUUCCCUUGUAUUCCAGGAAUUUUUCUUGAAGCUUUUGAGUGAAAACAUUUAUAUAUGCUACUCAUCAAAUAGAACUUUAAUUUUACCAAAUGCGAAUCUUAUAUAUCCUGGUGAGUGAUUCAUAUAGUUUGAAACAGUAACUCAUCUUUCCUAGGAAAAUAAGGUAUCCCCUAUCUCUACAUUCCUUUUAAUGGUAACGAGUUAGCAGUUGAAAAAUGGCAUUCAUGCUAUCAGAUGAAUCGAUCCUGGCAAUUGCUUUCUUAAUAUUUGCUGUCAGAGAAGAUGGAGAGAAUCGGAUUGUGGGGCAGAAGCAACUACUAGUCUGUGCAAACGGAUAGCCAGCAAAAAAGACAAUGUUCACCAUUCAGCGGGAGGUAAAAAAUUCCCCUCCACCUUUUUGAUGAACCAUUAAUUUCUCGAAGGUGUUUAACAAUGAAUGAUUCUUUAUUUUAUUUGAAAGCAAAGAUGCUAUCAAGUACACAAAUAGUCACAUAUUGAAAGUAAUGCAAGUAUUCUCCAUCUUUCCCUCAUCUUUUAAGCUGUUCAAAGCUUGAUACCCUCUACUUAAAUCUUAUUCAAAGGGUCGUGCAUACAAAUUCAUUCAAAGGGUAAUAGAUAAGUUUUUUUUUUACAAUAAUUAAGAUUUAACCGCAUGUCUUAAGAGGCCAGGAAUGUGAAUGUUGAUCAUGUAAUCCUCCCAAUCAAUACUCUUGGAAUCGAAGUCAAAUACACCCAUAUCAAUGCCUCUCUCUUGAGCCACCAUUCGCAACUUGUCUAAAUUUUUGUCACUAAAGCUGUAUAAGGAGACAAGAGCAUUUAAAACAAUUUAAUUAGUGAUUAAAAAUAUUAAAUUGUUAAGCCAAAAGCAAAAAUUUUGAAAUAAAUAAUAAACACAUAUGCAUACUCACAUGCCCUUAAAGAAGGCAUAAG